GAUGAAGAACGCAGUGAAAUGCGAUAAGUAAUGUGAAUUGCAGAAUUCAGUGAAUCAUCGAAUCUUUGAACGCACAUUGCGCCCAUUAGUAUUCUAGUGGGCAUGCCUGUUCGAGCGUCAUUUCAACCCUCAAGCCCCCGGGCUUGGUGUUGGGGAUCGGCGAGCCUCCGCGCCCGCCGUCCCCUAAAUCUAGUGGCGGUCUCGCUGUAGCUUCCUCUGCGUAGUAGCACACCUCGCACUGGGAAACAGCGCGGCCACGCCGUUAAACCCCCAACUUCUGAACGUUUGACCUCGGAUCAGGUAGGAAUACCCGCUGAACUUAAGCAUAUCAAUAAGCGGAGGA
rnacentral:misc_RNA from 1 species